ensembl:lncRNA LINC00964 long intergenic non-protein coding RNA 964
CCAUGAUGUCACCACACUGCUAUAUGGAAAAGAACAUUAAUCGAGCACCUACGUGCUUGAUUCUCUUAAUUCUGUGACUGAACUCUCAAAACACCCUGGGUUGGUUUCCUUUUUACAACUGCCCAAGUCAUGAGUUCAUAGGGCCUGGAUGGCUGUACCGGAUUGCUCUCCAGCUGGUCUCUCUGCAUCCAGAAAUUUCUACAACCUACUGGGAUUGUCUACUUCCCCUCCUAGACUGUACUCUCCACAAGAGAGCAAAGCUGUGUCUGUUGCAUUCACUGUUGUCUUCCCAGAAGCAAGCAGCAUGCUGGAGACCCUCAAAUACAUGUGAAAUGAAGGGACACCUUGUGUUAUUUCACCUGUUUCCACCUGGUUCCCAAGUGGCAAGCUUGCAUUGAGGUUACAAAGUGGCAAAGCUGGGAUAUCACAUGAUGUCACCAUGAUGCUAUAUGAAAUGUAACAUUAAUUGAGUACCUAUGUGACCAGUUCUUUAAUUCUGUAAGUGAACUCUCAAAAAACCCUAGGUAAGUAUUAUCAACUCGAACUUUAACGGAUGAGGAAACUGGAAUUUUUUAAAAAAUGACUUAACCAAACAUCACAGAGCUGUAAACCAGGAUUUGAAUGGGUGAGCUGCACUCAGCCUUCAUCUCAAGUCAGUUUGCCUCUUUCUCCAAGAAGCCACAGUUGAUCCUGACCACAUCACAUAUGAGUUGCCUGGAUUGCAGUCAUUCAUUCACUAAGCAUCUUUUAGGAGGUCACAUGCCAGGCACCGUGUUAGAGCACUGCGUGUUUUGAAAUAUACAAAUAGUGGGAAACGAAAUCUUUGUUCUGGAUGCAGUUAUAAUUUGGAAAGCGAGGAAAUAAAUUAUAACAAGGGGAAAAAACAGACACAGAGGGAUUGAAAUGCAUAACAAUAGAGAUGAAACACGAAGAGUGAUAAAUGAAGAUUGAGUGUGCACACCUUCUGGAGGAGCCCUGAUUGAGUAUUUUAAAAUACUACUAAAGUCAUGCCGUGUGACUUCUGAAGCUAGCUCCUAAGAAGUCCUUGCAGCUUCUGCCUGCGACUCUUAGAACACUUGCUUUGAAGGAUGCCAGAUGCUGUCUUAAAAGUCUGAGCACUCUGAAACCAUCAUGCUGUGAGGAAGCCCAAGCUAACCACAUGGGCAAAAAAGAUGCCCUCUGACUGCCACCAUUUGAGACACUCUAAUUAAGAACUGCCUCAUUGAGCCCAUGAGGCCCUGUGAAUGAUAAUAAUAAAUUGUUUUUAACCAC